UGAUUGUGAUUGCUGAUUAUAGGCCAUGA
rnacentral:piRNA from 1 species